rnacentral:rRNA from 1 species
UACGUAGGGGGCAAGCGUUGUCCGGAUUUAUUGGGCGUAAAGAGCGUGUAGGCGGUUUGGUAGGUCCGCUGUGAAAACUCCAGGCUCAACCUGGAGACGCCACCCGAUACUGCCAUGGCUAGAGUCCGGUAGGGGACCACGGAAUUCCUGGUGUAGCGGUGAAAUGCGCAGAUAUCAGGAGGAACACCGGUGGCGAAGGCGGUGGUCUGGGCCGGAACUGACGCUGAGGAGCGAAAGCGUGGGGAGCGAACAGG